rnacentral:rRNA from 1 species
GCAAGUCGAACGAGAAUCUAGAGCUUGCUCUAGCGGACAGUGGCGCACGGGUGAGUAACGCGUAGGUAACCUACCACUAGAAUUGGAAUAACUCCGGGAAACCGAAGCUAAUACCGAAUAACAUCUUAGAAUCGCAUGAUUCAGAGAUCAAAACUCCGGUGUCUAGGGAUGGGCCUGCGUAAGAUUAGGUAGUUGGUGGGGUAAUGGCCCACCAAGCCGACGAUCUUUAGCUGGUCUGAGAGGAUGAUC